UCACUGGAUUAUUAUUCAAUUCUUUGUAUGCUACGGAGCUACAUAAGUAUUACUUGGUCAUUGUAGUGUCAUAUGUGUUCAAUGUAUAAUAACAUCGAUCUCUAUUACUAUAAUUAAUACACCAGUUUUGAAUUUAGCGUUACCACCCCACCUUCUGUUUUCCCGCCUAAAGAUAUAGCAUGUCAAUCAUAGUUUUAAGUAGCGCGUUAUCUCGGUGCUAUUGUGUUUGCAGGGGCCUCGCGCUAAAGCUAUGAUCUUAAUAUCCAGCAUUGAAUUUACAACCUCUGUUUAUCUCUACCCUACAUAAAUCACAUAGCCGCGGAGUUGGACGGCCAAAGUCAGCUGGAUUCACUCGGCUUUCCUGGACUCUUGGUUUCUGUGGUGGUGAAUUUUUUAUCUGUCCUUGGUAGAGAUUUGUAGGUUGAACCGGCCAGGGGAAUUAUGCCAAAAACUCUCCACAUUCUGCUGGUACUACAAGAGCAAAGAGGCACCAAGCAAAUCCUCAUAAGAGGGAUGAUGAGAUCAUUGAGGAGAGCAAUGUUACCACCAACAUUACUCACAGGGACAUAGCUAGCAAGAGAC